GACGAACCGUGCGAACGUUGUUCGGAAUCACUGGGCUUAAAGGGCGCGUAGGCGGGCUGUCAAGUCCGGGGUGAAAUCCUCCCGCUCAACGGGAGAACGGCCUCGGAUACUGAUGGUCUCGAGGGGGGUAGGGGCACGCGGAACUGUGGGUGGAGCGGUGAAAUGCGUUGAUAUCCAUAGGAACUCCGGUGGCGAAAGCGGCGUGCUGGACCCUUUCUGACGCUGAUGCGCGAAAGCCAGGGGAGCAAACGGG
rnacentral:rRNA from 1 species